GCAAGCAAGAGUACUUUUUCAAGUGAAGUUCAACAAAGGAUAGCUUUAGUUUGGUCCUACUGGGAAACUAUGCCAAGGGAGGCUGUGGAAUUGCUAUCACUGUAGAUAAUGAAGGCUGAGAAUAGAUACCCACCCAGAAUGGAUUUUAUAGACAAUAAUAAGCUAUCCCGCUAUUCCAGAAAAGGGGAUGAGCUAUGUAUUUCACUGUAGGGCUCUUCCAGCCCAAAUGAUUUCAUAAAUUAGAUAAAGUAGUUUAGUUUAAAAUAUUACUUAUUAACUAUUACUUCUUCCAAAGUGUAUCCAGUACAGAGAUGGUUGAAUGCAGAAGCUAUUGAGUGACAAACAUAACUGGAAUUACAAACAUACUGCUAGCACCUACAAACAAACACCCACUCUGAAAACAGGACCAUGGGAAUCCAGGAAGGCAGAUUUUUGUAGUGUGGAGAAAUAG
rnacentral:lncRNA from 1 species